rnacentral:rRNA from 1 species
ACGUACACUCCUGCGGGAGGCAGCAGUGGGGAAUUUUGGACAAUGGGCGAAAGCCUGAUCCAGCCAUGCCGCGUGCAGGAUGAAGGCCUUCGGGUUGUAAACUGCUUUUGUACGGAACGAAACGGCCUUUUCUAAUAAAGAGGGCUAAUGACGGUACCGUAAGAAUAAGCACCGGCUAACUACGUGCCAGCAGCCGCGGUAAUACGAAGGGUGCAAGCGUUAAUCGGAAUUACUGGGCGUAAAGCGUGCGCAGGCGGUUAUGUAAGACAGUUGUGAAAUCCCCGGGCUCAACCUGGGAACUGCAUCUGUGACUGCAUAGCUAGAGUACGGUAGAGGGGGAUGGAAUUCCGCGUGUAGCAGUGAAAUGCGUAGAUAUGCGGAGGAACACCGAUGGCGAAGGCAAUCCCCUGGACCUGUACUGACGCUCAUGCACGAAAGCGUGGGGAGCAAACAGGAUUAGAUACCCUUGUAGUCCCAUG